rnacentral:lncRNA from 1 species
GCAGAUAUUCAGUCUCUUGAAUUCUCCUGUGAACCAGUUUCACCAUCUUGAUGGCUCCCCAAUUAACAAGGGCAACAGAAGACCAUUGCAGAAGUUUUCUUGGCAUAUUAAAAUCUGCCCGCAAGAGAGUUUACCAGAAAAGGAAUCUCUGAGGUGAGGACCUGACGUCCACAUCUUUGCGUUGGAUGGCCAAAAUUUCUGAGAAACACUAAGCUGUGAGGUCUUCUGAGAAAUAAGCUGAUGUCACAGGGUUGGACGGACCUGUUGCCACAAGAUGCUAAUGCUCUGGAAACCUGCCAAAUGUAUUGCCUGUUUAAAAUGUACUCCAUAGAACUACCAUUUGAUCCAGCAAUCCCACUACUGGGUAUCUACCCAGAGGAAAAGAAGUCAUUAUACGAAAAAGAUACUUGCAGCUGGGAGUGGUGGCUCACACCUGUAAUCCCAGAACUUUGGGAGGCUGAGGUGGGCAGAUCACCUGAGGUCAGGAGUUUGAGACCAGCCUAGCCAAUAUGGUGAAACCCUGUC